rnacentral:rRNA from 1 species
ACAGUCACACAUUAGAUACCCCUGUAGUCCCAGCCGUAAACUAUGCGCGUUAGGUGUAUCGGUGACCACGAGUCACCGAGGUGCCGAAGGGAAACCGUGAAACGUGCCGCCUGGGAAGUACGGUCGCAAGGCUGAAACUUAAAGGAAUUGGCGGGGAGCACAACAACGGGUGGAGCCUGCGGUUUAAUUGGACUCAACGCCGGGAAGCUCACCGGAUAAGACAGCGGAAUGAUUGCCGGGCUGAAGACUCUGCAUGACUAGCUG